rnacentral:rRNA from 1 species
UACAGAGGGGGCAAGCGUUGUUCGGAAUUACUGGGCGUAAAGGGCGCGUAGGCGGCCUCUUAAGUCGAACGUGAAAUCCCCGGGCUCAACCCGGGAACUGCGUCCGAUACUGGGAGGCUUGAAUCCGGGAGAGGGAUGUGGAAUUCCAGGUGUAGCGGUGAAAUGCGUAGAUAUCUGGAGGAAUACCGGUGGCGAAGGCGGCAUCCUGGACCGGCAUUGACGCUGAGUGAGCGAAAGCCAGGGGAGCAAACGGG